GCGAUGAGCUAAUUUGCGUAAGACGACAGGAUUUGCUUGCAUAAGCUAAACGAUGAAUGUGGUCAUCGGUCCUUCGCCGCAAAAUGUGAAAAGCCUUCCCAUAUCAGGGGAGGCUU
rnacentral:sRNA from 1 species